UACGAGGGGGGCAAGCGUUGUUCGGAUUUAUUGGGCGUAAAGGGUGCGUAGGCGGUUUGGCAAGUCUUGUGUGAAAUCUUUGGGCUCAACCCAAAGCCUGCACAAGAAACUGCCGGGCUUGAGUAUGGGAGAGGUGAGUGGAAUUUCCGGUGUAGCGGUGAAAUGCGUAGAUAUCGUAAGGAAGACCAGUGGCGAAAGGCGAAUCUCUGGACAGUUACUGACACUGAGGCAGC
rnacentral:rRNA from 1 species